AAUACAUUGUAAUAAAAUGUAAUAUCUUUCAACAGAUCUUUUUGAACAUGAAGAAUAAAAUCAGAACACCCCGCAAAAGGAAAAGAAAGCCUCUUCAGAUGAUGUCUUCUGCACCUGAACGGAAGUCCUUACAUACAGAAGAGCCUACAAGAAAGGCGCUCGAAAUUGUGAACUCAAGACCUGAACCGAAGGCCUUGGAAUCCGAAGGAAUUGCGUACAAGAAAGGUAUUUCUUACACACUUGUAUGAUUCACAGACAUAAUGAAGGCAGACGAUAUUUAUUAUUAUAUUAUUUUUGUUUUUUUUAUAUUAUGCUAUCUUUUAUUAUACAAUCCCACCUAUAAUACAGGCCUGGACAAUAUAA